rnacentral:snRNA from 1 species
UUGCUUUGGCAGUACAUAUACUAAAAUUGGAAUGAUACAGAGAAGAUUAGCAUGGCCCCUGCCCAAGGAUGACACGCAAAUUCGUGAAGCGUUCCAUAUUUUU